rnacentral:misc_RNA from 1 species
AAGUCGUAACAAGGUUUCCGUAGGUGAACCUGCGGAAGGAUCAUUAACACGUAUCCAACGUUAAACAACCCUGUGAACUUUCAACGCUCUUGUAACCAGGCGGAACAGCAAUCCCGGUAAAUCAGUGGGCGGAAAAGUUUUGAUUCGGGACCUCUGUCCAAAAGUUACAAUCGAGCUAGGAGCAGUGAGAAGGAUCCACUGAGUAAGGAUAACGCAUCACGGUUGCCAGAGGUCGAUCACCGGCCGGCAGACAUGUCACAGGGCUAUAUGCCCCUUCAUUCACACCUUGCUCUCUCAUGCCCGCCGGAAACGCCGGGCACAAAAACCGAACAACUGUUAACAAUGGAUAUCUUGGUUCUC